GUCAUAACAGAGGUGGGGUUUGAAUCCGGCAAGAGAAAGACACAAGAACUUCAUCGAAAAGCAGAAACAGACAAAAGGCGUCGGACGGUGCGGGUAUUGGAUCUAUGUGAUCUCCCAAAGAUGGCAACGAGUCUUAAGGCUCCGUGCGCAACAACUAGGAAAGCUCAUCGGCAGAGGGUGCUUUCGCAGAGCCUGGUAUCAUCCUUCUGAAGACCAAAAGUACAGAGCCAACAAUUUUGCACAGAGAGACCAAAGUUACUGGACUGGUAAUCAAGCAAGAGUUCUAUAGUUUGUAGUUUUCUUCUUAGUUGAAGCCAAUUAUAAGCACUAGGAGCUAAUCAAUAGAGUCCUGUUCUAGGAGGUAAUGUUGAUGUGUUUGCCGGAAAUUGUAUCUAGCAACCUGUAAUCAAGACUUUAAUUUCUCAGCUAUAAGAACCUAGUUUGCUUUUACA